rnacentral:rRNA from 1 species
UACGUAGGGUGCGAGCGUUAAUCGGAAUUACUGGGCGUAAAGGGUGCGCAGGCGGCCGAGCAAGUCGAGUGUGAAAGCCCCGAGCUUAACUUGGGAAUUGCGCUCGAAACUACUUGGCUGGAGUGUGGCAGAGGAAGGUGGAAUUCCAGGUGUAGCGGUGAAAUGCGUAGAGAUCUGGAGGAACACCGAUGGCGAAGGCAGCCUUCUGGGCCAACACUGACGCUCAUGCACGAAAGCGUGGGGAGCAAACAGG